CCUCUACACCCGCUUUUGGUUCCGGGAGAUUUUGCGUCCGGCUCUCAGCCACGGUUACUGCACUGGCGCAGCGAGACAGCCUAGUUUAGUUCCUUGUUCACAGGCAGUUUAACGCUCCAGCCAGCGAAAGACUCAUCAUCUCGGCCGAACAGGAGCACACACAAGGAGUGGAUAACCACUAGAUUAUGCUGAGUCUCCUGUAAGCACUUUGAAGAUGGAUUUUGGUCAUUAGACUUGGUCCUUCCUGAAAUAAUCCAAAGAGAAGAACUCAGCCUUCUGGAAUAUGCAGAAGCUGUGGCAAAGGCUGGCAUUGGAGUAAUGAAUGAAGAGCAACACGGCAUAGGCAAGUCUGGAGCUUUGAUGAAGGAAGACCCACCAGUGAUCUAGAUAUUGAGAUUUCUGAAGAGUGUGAUCUCUAUAUAUUGUCGACAUUUAGGAUUUAUGGCUGUGAAGACACAUCAUGACCAAAGCAACUCAUAUAAAGGCAAACAUUUAUUUGGUGCUGGCUUGCCAUUUUGGAGUUUCAGUCUAUUAUCAUCACGGUGGGAAGCAUGUAACCAUGCAGGCAGGCUUGCUGCUAGAAGUGCUAACAUCUCUACAUCUUGAUCAAAACUGCCCACUGCUGCUGCUUGCUAGAACUGGAACAUGCUUCUUUGGUUCUAUUACAGGUUCACUGCCUAGGCCUGGCUGUCUUAG